UCGUGACAUAACCUUAUUUCAAAGUAAGAUUUAUUUUUUUUUAUUACUAAUUUCAAUUACUGAAGAACAAAACAAAAAAUGGUUAGCAUUAACAAGUCAUUUUUAUACGGAAUCGUGUGCGCUUCUACUACCUGGAUAAUUUCUCUAUAUUUAUACUCGCAGUUAACAAAAAAUGUACCAAAUAGAAAUUCAAAAAUGUUCUUGCAAUUUCCUGAAUCAAAUAAUAAUGUACUGCAACACGAAAUUGAUGAGAAGGAAUCGACUAAAAGUUAUUUAACAAAGAACAGUGGGCAUAGAUUUGCUACAAAUCACCUAUUUAAGAAUUUAAGUAUCAGUGUUUUGUCACAAAAACCUGUAAAUAAAUUUGAGGAUGAGUUGAUGGACCUUGGAUUGGUUAAAAAUUUCAAAGAUCAAGAAAUUAAAGAUCAGGGUUAUAAAUUGUAUGCCUACAAUAUCUUAAUAAGUAACAGAUUGAGUUAUCACAGGAGUAUCCCUGAUACAAGACAUUCCUUAUGUAAAAAUCUUUCCUACCCAAAGAGCUUACCAACUGCGAGCAUUAUCAUAUGUUUCUACAAUGAACAUUUGCAUACUCUAAUUCGAACAAUACAUUCAUUAUUGGACAGGACUGGAGAAGCUGUCCUACAUGAAAUCAUUUUAAUAGAUGAUUUUAGUGAUUUGCCCAAGUUGCAUCAGGAUUUGCAACAAUAUUUAUCUAAAAACAAAUUAGAAAAAGUUAAACUAUACAAAACCGAAAGAAGGGAGGGACUCAUUCGUGCUAGAAUAUUUGGAUCUCACAAAGCCAGUGGAGAAGUGUUGGUAUUUUUGGAUAGCCAUAUAGAAGUCAAUGUCAAGUGGCUUCCACCACUUUUAGAGAGAAUUAAGCAGAACAGAUCCAAUGUAGUCAUGCCUAUUAUAGACAUCAUCAACCCUGACACUUUUUUUUAUAGUUCUAGUCCAUUAGUCAGGGGUGGUUUUAACUGGGGACUGCAUUUUAAGUGGGAAAAUCUUCCCAAAGGAACUCUAAACAAAUCUGCAGACUUUGUCAAACCACUAAAAUCUCCAACAAUGGCAGGAGGAUUAUUUGCAAUUAACAGAAAGUAUUUUAUUGAUAUUGGCGAAUAUGAUGCUGGAAUGAAUAUAUGGGGAGGUGAAAAUUUGGAGUUGUCAUUUCGGAUUUGGAUGUGUAAUGGUUCUUUGGAAAUCAUCCCAUGCAGCAGAGUAGGUCAUAUUUUUAGACAUAGAAGGCCUUAUGGGUCACCUGAUGGAGAAGAUACUAUGUUGUAUAAUUCCUUGAGAGUCGCCCAUGUGUGGUUAGAUGAUUAUAAAGAAUAUUUUUUAAGUCAAAACAAACAGGCGAAAAAAAUUAAUUAUGGCGACAUAUCCUCUAGAAUUCAACUUCGCAAAGAAUUGAAGUGUCAAGAUUUUGAUUGGUAUCUCAAGAAUAUUUAUCCAGAGCUGACCUUACCAUCGGACGAUACAGAACGUUUAAAAAAGAAGUGGUCCGCUUUGGAGCAGAAUCAAUUUCAACCAUGGCAUUCAAGAAAAAGAAAUUAUGUCAAUCAGUUCCAGAUUAGGUUAAGGAACACUUCACUAUGCAUUCAGAGCUCCAAAGAUGUCAAAAGUAAGGGGAGCACAUUAAUUUUGAGACCAUGCGUCAGGAGCAAGAAGCAGCUGUGGUAUGAAACUGAUAAGAGUGAAUUAGUCCUUGCACAACUGUUGUGUCUUCAGGCUUCAAAACCGCUACCAAUCUUAUAUAAAUGCCAUGAAUUAGGAGCAGAUCAAGAGUGGAAACACAAAGGAGGAUUUUUUUCUUGUUUUAGGAAGAUUCACCAAUUUACAAUUUGGGUUCAGGAACUUGUCUAGGAGCAAGUAAAAUUGCAGUUAAUGCAACUAUUCAAAUGAAGUUGUGCACAGAUCCAAAACUGAAUGUCUGGGACAUGAUUUAAAGAUUCUCAUGUAAAAAAAAACAGGUUUCCAAAACUUUGAUCUAAAAGCUUUCUCUGGAAAAUUUGGGAUUUCUUCUGACAUUUCAACAUGGUCAAAUAUGAUCACCCUGUAUGAGUCAAAUAAUAUUUUUAUUGCACGGGGAGAGGAAUUACGAGACAAAUACAAGCGGACGGUAAGUUAGAAGUGCAAUUUAUCCUAACGUGUAACACAGAGUGUCUUAAAAAUUAAUUAUAUCUUUUUGUUUACAGAACACCCUGUAUAUUACAAUGUCUUUCCAUCAGGUAACUAACUUUUCAGUCCAUCCGUUUCAGUAUUCCAAGGCAGUUCAUUGAUAUGAAAAAUAAAUACGUUUAAAUUGAUAAUAAUUAGGACACUUUAGUGGAACGAUACAAAGUGGACCAACAAAUUAGCGUUAGUAAAUCAGUAUUCGUUAUUGUCUUAGACUUCAACUUCAAUUUCUUUCUUCUUGUAUCACCUCAAGCAUUUAAAUUUAAGAUUAUAGUUCAUCCACCUUGUAUAACAAAUGGUCCAAGUGGGAAAUGGCACUAUAUUUUUUAACUCGAAAUGAUGUUGACAAGAGGACAAAUCUUAAGUUUUUCUAAUUUUUGUCUAUUCGAGAUCAGGAUUAAACCAAAUCCUUCUAGCACGAUCAUUUAAGAUUUGUCCUAAUUUUAAUGUAAAAUAAAAAAAACA